AAGUUUGUACUGUCUGUGGCUUGUUGAAAUUAUUUGCAUUUCUUUUUAUAGUGACUCAAACUUAAUUGGUGUUCAUAGUGUCAAUAAUAGUUAUCACAGGUCAGUCACCAAAACAAAUCAGAGAUGGCUACAUAACAAACUUCUACUCCAUGCAGUCGUUGGGAGGACCAUGCGCCAAAUUAAACAGUUGAGAAAGGGACUGAAAGAUGUGAUGGUAUGGCCCCUGCUGACAUCUAGGCCGGAUGUUGUACCACUUCUUUUCCCCAAAAUGGCUGAAAUGCAGUUCACACCCCAGAUGCUCCUAGAAAAAAUCACAUGGCCAGUUGAGGACAGUGAUGAUGAAGACUUUGACUUAGACACCACCUGCCGA